GAAUUCUAUCUUUAGUUCAACGCUUAAGAAAAAAGUAGAAAUUUUGCAUGGCUUAAGGCGGGAGUUUUCGGCAACUGGUUUUUUUCACCUUUUCGGGCGGAGGUUUAGCCAAGGUCGCUGUCCCGUCUUAUCUAAAACAAAGAAUUUCUAAGAGAUUCUUUGUCUAAAAGGGGCUGUUUUUCAGGAACUCGCCCUUCUUCGGCUUCUCUGGUAUUGCUCUCCUAGCUCUCGUCCGUGGAGGUUGGUUCAUCGCUCGCCUCUGCUGCUCGAGGCCCAAGAUGUUACCGGACGGCUCAUUCUCGUGGCUUACACCUGCGAGACAUUUUGCUCUCACCAGACUCCAAUAACUGCCAUCGAAUUCUGUUCUGAAAUGUCUUCUGAUCUAUAACUUCUCCAAUAAAAAAAAAAAAAAUGAAAGAUUAAUUUUGUUUUCCUCCUCGAAGGGGUAUUUUCCCUUCACACAGAAUCCAGCAUGCCAUUAUGCAAAGGAGUAAAUGGACGUUGAGGUGUUACUUGCUUAAUCUCCAUGAUGUUUUCAACGUUGUGAUCUCAUCUAAUAGAAAUUACUGCCAUCCCUGCUUUUGCUUGAAAUAUGAAUUCCAACAGAUCCUGAUCAAAUUUUGACUUUACACCUUCCUUAAUGAUGAUCCAUUCUUCCUUCCGGAAUCCUGAUGAAAAUAUAGACUUUACACCUUCCUGAAUGAUGAUCUAUUCCUCCUUCCGGAAUCCUGAUGAAAUAAGGGAGCUUCAGUAACCUGAUUGAUUUGAUGCAGUCUACAAAGCCUUCCAGUGACCAAGUAGAUGGUGGGCCAAAUAAUGGUAUUUCGAGCUGAGUUCAAAUCGUACUGAAGAAACUGGUUGCAAAGGGCUUUCGUCAUUUUCCUCAUAGUCAACGUAGAGGUACAAUAUUCCAGCGCUGUUUCUUUGAUGUUUGAAUAAACUAUCUACAUUGGAUCAACAUGAAAGCUGAAAGCUCGUGAGACGGGCUGCUG